rnacentral:rRNA from 1 species
CAAUAGCGUAUAUUAAAGUUGUUGCGGUUAAAAAGCUCGUAGUUGGAUUUCUGCUGAGAACGACCGGUCCGCCCUCUGGGUGUGUAUCUGGCUCUUUCUUGGCAUCUUCUUGGUGAACGUUGCUGCACUUGACUGUGUGGAGCGCUACCCAGGACUUUUACUUUGAGGAAAUUAGAGUGUUUCAAGCAGGCAUACGCCUUGAAUACAUUAGCAUGGAAUAAUAAGAUAGGACCUCGGUUCUAUUUUGUUGGUUUCUAGAGCUGAGGUAAUGAUUAAUAGGGAUAGUUGGGGGCAUUCGUAUUUAAUUGUCAGAGGUGAAAUUCUUGGAUUUAUGAAAGACUGACAUCUGCGAAAGCAUUUGCCAAGGAUGUUUUCAUUGA